GUCUUGGAUAACCUUUGACAGCUUUGCGUUCGGACCAUUCAGCAAUGUCAGCAAGCCUUAUCUGAUCUGCAUGUACUUGAACAACGGAGUUGUCAAGCUGGUUUUUAAUAAGGACCUCCCUAAAGGCAGAACUUGUAAAUUCUGACCCUCGGUCAUGAAUUAUCUGGAGAGGACAUCCAUAUCUAGGAUAUAUCUCAUUCAAAAAAUCUGGUGGUCGUGAAAAGAAAUCAGCAAUAACAUUUGCCUUUCCUGGAAGAUACUCUAUCUUACAGUUGUAACCACUAAUAGACAAUGCCCAUAACUGAAUUUUCUUGUUUUGCAUUGGGCUUUUUAAUAAAUACUGCA